GGCGGAGAUUAGCAUAGGUGUUGACUUCUAAUCAAAAGCCUGCGGGGGUGGCGGUCCUGCCUCUGCCG
rnacentral:tRNA from 1 species